GAACCGUCCUAACGUUGUUCGGAUUCACUGGGCUUAAAGGGCGCGUAGGCGGGCAAGCAAGUCCGGGGUGAAAUCUUUCGGCUCAACCGGAAAAUAGCCUUGGAUACUGCUUGUCUGGAGGGAGGUAGGGGUCUGUGGAACUUCCGGUGGAGCGGUGAAAUGCGUUGAUAUCGGAAGGAACGCCGGUGGCGAAAGCGACGGACUGGACCUCUUCUGACGCUGAGGCGCGAAAGCUAGGGGAGAGAACGGGAUUAGAUACCCCGGUAUUCCUAGCCCUAAACGAUGGGUACUAGGUAGUGGACUUAACAUGGGUUCACUGCCGAAGCAAAAGUAGUAAGUACCCCGCCUGGGGAGUAUGGUCGCAAGGCUGAA
rnacentral:rRNA from 1 species